GAGGGCGUAGCUCAGUCGGAAGAGCAACGGAUUUUUAAUCCGUAGGCCGAGGGUUCGAUCCCCUCCGCCCUCACCA
rnacentral:tRNA from 1 species